UACAGAGGGUGCGAGCGUUGUCCGGAAUCACUGGGCGUAAAGGGCGCGUAGGCGGCUUGAUAAGCGUGCGGUGAAAGCCCGGGGCUCAACCCCGGGUCGGCCGUGCGGACUGUCGAGCUGGAGCACUGUAGAGGCAGGUGGAAUUCCGGGUGUAGCGGUGGAAUGCGUAGAGAUCCGGAAGAACACCGGUGGCGAAGGCGGCCUGCUGGGCAGUGGCUGACGCUGAGGCGCGACAGCGUGGGGAGCAAACAGG
rnacentral:rRNA from 1 species